AUCGUUGUCUAAGAACAUUUCACAGUCAGAGUUCCUGAGCAGCUCUCAGAGAAGACGAUGAAAAAUGUCCUCAUGCAGGAAAACAGAGCUGCAGUGAAU